GCUGCAGCAGCAGCAGCAGCAGCAACAACAACAACAGCAGCAGCAGCAGCAGCAGCAGCA
rnacentral:miRNA from 1 species